UACGAAGGGGGCUAGCGUUGCUCGGAAUUACUGGGCGUAAAGCGCACGUAGGCGGCUUUCUAAGUCGGGGGUGAAAUCCUGGAGCUCAACUCCAGAACUGCCUUCGAUACUGGAGAGCUCGAGUCCGGGAGAGGUGAGUGGAACUGCGAGUGUAGAGGUGAAAUUCGUAGAUAUUCGCAAGAACACCAGUGGCGAAGGCGGCUCACUGGCCCGGUACUGACGCUGAGGUGCGAAAGCGUGGGGAGCAAGCAGG
rnacentral:rRNA from 1 species